UAGGGAAUCUUCCGCAAUGGACGCAAGUCUGACGGAGCAACGCCGCGUGAGUGAAGAAGGAUUUCGGUUCGUAAAACUCUGUUGUUAGAGAAGAACAGCGCAUAGAGUAACUGUUAUGCGUGUGACGGUAUCUAACCCGAAAGCCACGGCUAACUACGUGCCAGCAGCCGCGGUAAUACGUAGGUGGCAAGCGUUGUCCGGCUUUAUUGGGCGUAAAGCGAGCGCAGGCGGUCAAUUAAGCCUGAUGUGAAAGCCCCCGGCUCAACCGGGGAGGGUCAUUGGAAACUGGUUGACUUGAGUGCAGAAGAGGAGAGUGGAAUUCCAUGUGUAGCGGUGAAAUGCGUAGAUAUAUGGAGGAACACCAGUGGCGAGGGCGACUCUCUGGUCUGUAACUGACGCUGAGGUUCGAAAGCGUGGGUAGCAAACAGG
rnacentral:rRNA from 1 species